GACGAACGCUGGCGGCGUGCUUAACACAUGCAAGUCGAACGGAAAGGCCCUGCUUUUGUGGGGUGCUCGAGUGGCGAACGGGUGAGUAACACGUGAGUAACCUGCCCUUGACUUUGGGAUAACUUCAGGAAACUGGGGCUAAUACCGGAUAGGAGCUCCUGCUGCAUGGUGGGGGUUGGAAAGUUUCGGCGGUUGGGGAUGGACUCGCGGCUUAUCAGCUUGUUGGUGGGGUAGUGGCUUACCAAGGCUUUGACGGGUAGCCGGCCUGAGAGGGUGACCGGCCACAUUGGGACUGAGAUACGGCCCAGACUCCUACAGGAGGCAGCAGUGGGGAAUAUUGCACAAUGGGCGGAAGCAUGAUGCAGCAACGCCGCGUGCGGGAUGACGGCCUUCGGGUUGUAAACCGCUUUCGCCUGUGACGAAGCGUGAGUGACGGUAAUGGGUAAAGAAGCACCGGCUAACUACGUG
rnacentral:rRNA from 1 species